GACGAACGCUGGCGGCGUGCUUAACACAUGCAAGUCGAACGGAAAGGCCCUGCUUUUGUGGGGUGCUCGAGUGGCGAACGGGUGAGUAACACGGGAGUAACCUGCCCUUGACUUUGGGAUAACUUCAGGAAACUGGGGCUAAUACCGGAUAGGAGCUCCUGCUGCAUGGUGGGGGUUGGAAAGUUUCGGCGGUUGGGGAUGGACUCGCGGCUUAUUAGCUUGUUGGUGGGGUAGUGGCUUACCAAGGCUUUGACGGGUAGCCGGCCUGAGAGGGUGACCGGCCACCUUGGGACUGCGAUACGGCCCAGACUCCUACGGGAGGCAGCAGUGGGGAAUAUUGCACAAUGGGCGGAAGCCUGAUGCAGCAACGCCGCGUGCGGGAUGACGGCCUUCGGGUUGUAAACCGCUUUCGCCUGUGACGAAGCGUGAGUGACGGUAAUGGGUAAAGAAGCACCGGCUAACUACGUG
rnacentral:rRNA from 1 species